UGCCAAGUACUAUGACGCCAUCGCCUG
rnacentral:piRNA from 1 species